AGUACAGCUUUUACAGGAGCAAGGGAUGCCCGGGCACAAGUGGCUGAGUUCCGAGUGACUUUAGGAAGCGCUUUCCUGCCUCCCUCCUUCAGGAAAACGGGGGAUUCUGCACCUGUACCAGGGACAGUCUGGCAAAAGCCUGCUCUGCCUCCGGGGACAAGGAACGAGCACCAAUAACCAUUUUGAAAUUGGAUCUUGGCAAAAUUUGCAACGAAUCCAUAAAGGAAACUGAAAGCAGUUUGAUCUUCAUCUUCAAUGACAGUUCCACAAAAGUUAAAGAACUACAUUAUGUCUCCAAAGAAGAGUACAGUGGUGCCCUAAAAUUAGGACAUGAUUAAGUUCUGUAGUUUUAACCAGAACAAAAAGGAGUGCCCAGAAGAAAAGAAGGUAAGUUAUUUCAUAAGUUGGGUUGGAAAUUCAGAAGUUCUUUUUCCAUUACCAGCAUUGUGUUCUUAAAAAAAAAAAAAUAAGACAGACUCUUACUUUUUCAUUUAUGAGUAUUCCCAUAAGAGCUGGCAGAAGUUGGGGUAGGGAGGAAAUCCACCAUAGAUACACAGCUAGACCCUAUUAUUAGAGGCAAUUGGUUGCAUCCCAUAGAAAAUAUAGUUUGCUCUUGAAGAUGGAAUAGGCUUAAUGUUAAAAAAAAACAACAUAUGUUUAUAAAACAAAGAUUUUACAUUUUUAAUUAUACCCCUAAGCUGGCUUUCUAGUUUUUCUAGGAUAUCAGGGCAUAAAAAGAAAGAAAGAAAGAAAAGAAAGAAAGAAAGAAAGAAAGAAAGAAAGAAAGAAAGAAAGAAAGAAAGAAAGAAAGAAAGAAAAAAAUAUUUACUCAGAUUAGUGUUGGGAACAUCACAUAGAAAUAUGUGUGGUGAUGUUACUGGAAAUGAGUAUUUUUGUAAAGUAAACAAGUAGAAUGUCUGAACUUUAAAAAGCCUGCCAUACUGCCUUAAGGUUAAAAAUGCAAGUCUAGAUACAUCUAAGAAAUUGUAAUUUGUUUAACUUUUUUAGUUCUAAGCAUUUUCUGUUGCAAAUAUUUAAAAGAUGGCUAUGUCUUCAGUUAAAAAUGAUUUUGAUGAAGUAGUACUACUUAGAUUGUUUUCACUUUCUAUAAUUAAAUGUACUUGCUACUUAUUCAGGGCAUACGUUUCAGGCCCAAAUCAUUGAGGACACAUCUAAGUGACAUAACAUUUUUUUAAAUUAAACAAUUUUGUGACAGUUUUCAAGUUUAUUUUAAUUUGUGUUUUAGGGCCUUCAAAUUUAGUUAAAUAGCAUCAAGAUCUUGUCUCUAUGAUUGUCAUAAUUUAAAUAAUAAUAUGGAGCAUGAUAAUAUAAUGAAUACAGACUUAUGGAAAAAUUGCAUUCCCUUAGCCAAAAUGUGGGGGAAAUCAGAACAAAUGAGGAUGAACAUGAUUAUUUUUCCUGGUACUUUCAUAGACUAAUCUAUAAAAGUUGGGUUUGAUAUAUCUUGUCUUAAUGGUAUAUGAAGAAACCCAUGGCUGACAUCAAAGUUUGUAGGUGUGUGGUAUGUGUAUUUUUAAUAAAGAUAUCUAUGAUCCAACAUUGCAGAGAUAAUUAGGCUUCACGUAAAACUACCUCUUCUAGAAUCUUCAGGGACAAGGAAAUGCAGCUGUGUAUCACCUGCCCCUUCUACAGAUAGUGCCAAAGGAUCUAACUCAAUGAAAAUUCAAAUCAGAAUGCACAAAAAUACAGUAUUCCCAAUCUGCUAUUUAUAUUGCCAGAUAAAUUUUAUAUGCACAACAAUAUUUGCCCAUUGUUAAUUUUUAUGUUGUACAAUUAUACUAAAUUUUGAAUGGCAUCUUUAAUAAAAGAAGCCUAGAAACAUCCUUUGGCAAAUAAAGGAAAAAGUCAUCAUGUACACUUGAGAAAACAUUUUCAGAGCUAUUGUAGGAUUGCUGAAAGACACAUUGAAAGAUGUUUAAGGCUCAAGAAUAUAUUUCAUUUAGAAGCUGGGCUGUGCUUUAGUAUUUUAUCAACUUCAUAAAAUACUUGAUUGAUAGUGUUUCAAUCAUAAAGGAGAUUUAGAAAGAGAAGAAAUGUAAGUGAGAAUCUUAUUAGGAGCAGUAAUUAUAUAGAUAGCGAAGUGACUGCUUAUUUUUUCAAGAUGAAGUUUCAUUUUAAGUAAACAUUUUCAGGGAAAGAAGCUGAUUAACAAAACUGAACAUUCACACAAGGCAGUGCAAAAAUUGAAUCCCCCCAUAAAAGGGGAUUCAAUGCUGGUCUAUAAUAAUUAGCCAUAUUUCUCCACUAAGAAGAAGAGGUCUCUUCAGAUCUUGAUGGCUAGUGUGGAUGUGGACAUUUUGAGUGUAAGAAAAGGGAAUUUGAUUCAUGUUCCAUAGUUAUCCGGCCAUGAUGGAAGGCUUUCAUUUCUCCAGUGGGUAUCAUGGAACUUGUCUUGACUAAAUAGUACUUAAUUUUUCUCUCAGCCAGGGUUCCUCAACAGAGGCACUAGUGAUAUUUUGGACCAGAUAAUCCUUAGGCAUAGGAGAUUGUACAUUGUAGCAUUGUACAUUGUAACACUUUUAAUCAGCAUCCUUGGCCUCUACUCACCAGAUGUCAGUAGCAUUCCUCUCUCACCACAUUGAUAUUAUCAGACAUUGCCUUUGGUUGAGAGCCACAUGUCUAGCCAUUUUUCAUUUCUUCUCUUAUCUCAAUUGAAAGUGAGUUAUGUUGGCUUUUUGCAUUAUCUUUAACAGAUAUUUUCUAUAAGGUACUCUUAUGUACUAAGUGAAGAAGUGGUUUAUAAUGUGAAUAUUUCAGCAGGAAACAAAAAAUUGGAAUCUCAAUGGUACAUUCAUUACUUGAAACAUUAAAUAUUGUAUUAAAAAUACACAAAUUAUAAGGGAUAUUGAAUGUGAGCUCAUACUUUGUGCCAUACAUGAAAACUUGCAAUGUAAGCCAGGGAAAUUAAUGCAAAAUAUGUUUGCCUCUGAUUGG